UUACAAGGGACUUCCCCACUCCAAGGUUAUACACUUUUUCCACUGGGGCCAUGAACUGAGUGUGUCACACCACUGUACCCUUGGGAAGGUCUGGGACUAGGGCCAGAAGAGCCCUAACAGGGCUCUCCCACGGGUGAUGAGUUCCCAGGGAACAGGGUUCUGUCUGCACAAGGUCAGACUGGGCAGGAGAUGGUGUGGACCCCACCCCUGGGGAGGGGCCUGGUGGAUGCAGAACUUGGAAUAGACUCGACCGGCAAAGUGAGUUCAGUGGCUGAAGUAAGAUACCCCAAACGGGGGCCUCACAACCCAAUUCAGACUACUCUCCUCUGUUA
rnacentral:RNase_P_RNA from 1 species